rnacentral:rRNA from 1 species
AGGACGAACGCUGGCGGCGUGCUUAACACAUGCAAGUCGAACGAUGAAGCAGAGCUUGCUCUGCCGAUUAGUGGCGAACGGGUGAGGAACACGUGAGAAACCUGCCCCAGACUCUGGGAUAACAAUUAGAAAUGAUUGCUAAUACCGGAUGACGUCGGAGAACCGCAUGGUUCACUGACGAAAGGAAAUCCGGUUUGGGAGGGUCUCGCGACCUAUCAGCUUGUUGGCGGGGUAAUGGCCCACCAAGGCGUCGACGGGUAGCUGGUCUGAGAGGAUGAUCAGCCACACUGGGACUGAGACACGGCCCAGACUCCUACGGGAGGCAGCAGUGGGGAAUCUUGCGCAAUGGGCGAAAAGCCUGACGCAGCAACGCCGCGUGCGGGAUGAAGGCCUUCGGCUGUAAACCGCUUUCAGCAGGAACGAAAAUGACGGUACCUGCAGAAGAAGAGCGGCCAACUACGUGCCAGCAGCCGCGGUAA